GGCAGGACUCUGUACACAGUGUGGUCUCCUCUCAAUAAAGGCUGCUGACUGAGGGCCAGGUGGCCGACAGGCUGGCCCCAGACCAAAGAGAAGGCUGUCCAUUUCGUUGAUUUCUUGGGAGCAUCCAUCAUACGGAAAGUACCUAGGCGAUCGGGGCUGGAGAAAUGGCUCAGAGGAUAAAGGUAGCUGCCACGAAGCCUGAUGACCUGACUUGGAUCCCUAGGACCCACCCGGGUGAAGGAACUGACUGGAUCUCAUUAUUCUUCUGGCCUACACAUGUGUGCUGUGGUAUAUACACAUAAAAUUAAAUAAAUAAA